UAAACACUACUGGUCAGGACUAACGGGACACCCAACCCCGACUCAGAGAUGAAGGGUAACUUCCUGGAGGAACAAGCAUUAACUGGAGACAGGUAGACAUGUGUGAGACGCCUGUACUGUUUGUCUGUCGAGCAAACUUACGCAAAUUGUGGAAUUCCGUGUAAGGUUUAUGAAGUCUCAUGUCAUCUGCCAGAAUCCCCUAAACCAGAGGUCCCCAACCUUUUUGGCAUCAGGAACUGGUUUUGUGGAAGACAAUUUUUCCAUGGACUGGCGUGGAGAGGAUGGUUUCAGGAUGAUUCAAGUGCAUUACAUUCAAGCUCACCUCCUGCUGUGUGGCCCAGUUCCUAACAGAGCCAGCUUUUAAGCAGGAAGCGAGUUGACCUGGUUGACCUCCUAGAAGCUCACUGUCAGUGUGGUGCUCAGAAUAGCCCGGGAGAG